rnacentral:rRNA from 1 species
UACAGAGGGGGCAAGCGUUAUUCGGAAUUGUUGGGCGUAAAGGGCGCGUAGGCGGCCUUGCAAGUGGCGGGUGAAAUCCCUCGGCUUAACCGAGGAACUGCCUGCCAGACUGUGAGGCUCGAGACCGGGAGAGGUGAGUGGAAUUCCCAGUGUAGCGGUGAAAUGCGUAGAUAUUGGGAGGAACACCAGUGGCGAAGGCGGCUCACUGGACCGGAACUGACGCUGAGGCGCGAAAGCGUGGGGAGCAAACAGG